rnacentral:lncRNA from 1 species
AUUAUGAGGAAUCAUAAUGGUCAGAAUGGGAACAAACUGACCAAAGGGCUUACUGGAUGAAGCUAACCAGAUAGAGUGAGACCAGAGAGAAGAUGUGGCCCAGGAAGUCAUAACCUCCUGUUCCUGACUUGGACUUUCUCCUUUGUCCUGUGUCUGGAGACUUCUUGGAAGCUGAAGCACACAAAUAGCUACAGCAAACCUGAGGAAUGGACAUGAAUAGACUGGCUUUGGGGAACCUGCCAGCUUGGCUGUGUGGCCAAGAAUCCUGCUUUCUGUGAUGGAAACUAAUGAAUUGUGACCCAAUCCAUGAAAGUGUUAUCAACAGAAGCUCAUGGGAGCAUGAAGUCCUCUCUUGUGUGCAUGGUGGAUAUUCCUGUGGCUGGUGGCAGGCCAAUGCAGGAGAACCUGACAACAGGAAACCUUGAAAUGAGAAGGGAGAAGCCUUCCUGGAGCCUGGCUGGCAGAGCCCCUGUCUGAUCUGUCUAGCAGUUAUGGAGCUGGAGACAGGCGCAGUGCUCUUACUUCCUCCUCGAGGAAAAGAACCCCACCAAAAUAGAUCCUCAUCGUCUUGCAAACACCACCCAGAAUAAAUAUACAGGAAAUGAGGG